GAUGAACGCUGGCGGCGUGCCUAAUACAUGCAAGUCGAGCGAACGGACGAGAAGCUUGCUUCUCUGAUGUUAGCGGCGGACGGGUGAGUAACACGUGGAUAACCUACCUAUAAGACUGGGAUAACUUCGGGAAACCGGAGCUAAUACCGGAUAAUAUUUUGAACCGCAUGGUUCAAAAGUGAAAGACGGUCUUGCUGUCACUUAUAGAUGGAUCCGCGCUGCAUUAGCUAGUUGGUAAGGUAACGGCUUACCAAGGCAACGAUGCAUAGCCGACCUGAGAGGGUGAUCGGCCACACUGGAACUGAGACACGGCCCAGACUCCGACGGAGGGCAGCAGUAGGGAAUCUCCGCAAUGGGCGAAAGCCUGACGGAGCAACGCCGCGUGAGUGAUGAAGGUCUUCGGAUCGUAAAACUCUGUUAUUAGGGAAGAACAUAUGUGUAAGUAACUGUGCACAUCUUGACGGUACCUAAUCAGAAAGCCACGGCUAACUACGUG
rnacentral:rRNA from 1 species